CUUGAAGGUGGAACUGAAAUGACAAAUAAAGCCAAUGCACAAGAUUCAGUAAGUCUGAACUCAGUGCGUUUAACUGAUAGAACUACAGAUUUUUUGCGACUGGGAGGUGAUUUUGGUAAAAUGUGUGACCUGUCUUGGAGUCACGUGUAGCAGAGAGGGAUAGUUGGUAAUAACAGGAUCCACAAAAAGACUUCGGUGCUGCAGUGCUCUGUGCUUGGGUGCUCUCUCAGCUUGUGUUGCACUUGCCUUGACUAAUUAACAUCUUCGUUGUUGCCAACAGUCCCUUGAUACCAGGAUGACAUUCUUCCAGAUGAUAUGGAAGUCAUCAGUGAGUCUGGAGACAACUGAAGAGGCCAAUCCAAGAUCUGCAUGUUUCACAUGGCAUACAGUUGUAGAAGGAAGGAGUGGAUCCUGGUGAUGUUGGGUCACAGAGCUUUCCUCUUAUCAUUCUGGCCUAGUUGCCUCCAUGGUGAGAUCUGCCUACGGGUUCUGGUCCUGCACGUCCUUAUGAACCAUUGGGAAAGAGGAGAAGAUAAAGAAAAGGAGCAGAUACUUAUUUAAAACUAGCAAACCUGGGCCAAUGCUUGAUGAAUAAGACGUUGUAUGCAUACCAAGCUUGUGAGGCAAGCAGGAGUGUCAAGUGGUUACUGGAAAUGCUAACUUGUAGGUCAUUAAACAGAGAGUAGCUGUUGUUGCUGGGGCAACCUAAGUGGAACAUCUCUUUCACCUUGUUUGAUCUUAAAUAAAUAAAUAAAUAAAUAAAUAAAAACAGUGACAUAAUUAUUA